GACGGAGGGUGCAAGCGUUGUUCGGAAUUACUGGGCGUAAAGGGCGCGUAGGCGGCGUGUUAAGUCACUUGUGAAAUCUCUGAGCUUAACUCAGAACGGUCAAGUGAUACUGAUGUGCUAGAGUGCAGAAGGGGCAACCGGAAUUCUUGGUGUAGCGGUGAAAUGCGUAGAUAUCAAGAGGAACACCUGAGGUGAAGACGGGUUGCUGGGCUGACACUGACGCUGAGGCGCGAAAGCUAGGGUAGCAAACGGG
rnacentral:rRNA from 1 species